rnacentral:rRNA from 1 species
UACGAAGGGGGCUAGCGUUGUUCGGAAUCACUGGGCGUAAAGCGCACGUAGGCGGCUUUUUAAGUCAGGGGUGAAAUCCUGGAGCUCAACUCCAGAACUGCCUUUGAUACUGGGAAGCUUGAGUCCGGAAGAGGUGAGUGGAACUCCGAGUGUAGAGGUGAAAUUCGUAGAUAUUCGGAAGAACACCAGUGGCGAAGGCGGCUCACUGGUCCGGUACUGACGCUGAGGUGCGAAAAGCGUGGGGAGCAA